ACCAACUGAAAAGUCCCAAAUAGGACGAAACGAGUGUUCUGGAU
rnacentral:hammerhead_ribozyme from 1 species